GAUUGGCGGGAUCCCUCGCGGGU
rnacentral:snRNA from 1 species